rnacentral:rRNA from 1 species
GACGAACGCUGGCGGCGUGCUUAACACAUGCAAGUCGAACGGAAAGGCCCUGCUUUUGUGGGGUGCUCGAUUGGCGAACGGGUGAGUAACACGUGAGUAACCUGCCCUUGACUUUGGGAUAACUUCAGGAAACUGGGGCUCAUACCGGAUAGGAGCUCCUGCUGCAUGGUGUGGGUUGGAAAGUUUCGGCGGUUGGGGCUGGACUCGCGGCUUAUCCGCUUGUUGGUGGGGUAGUGGCUUACCAAGGCUUUGACGGGUAGCCGGCCUGAGAGGGUGACCGGCGACAUGGGGACUGAGAUACGGACCAGACUCCUACGGGAGGCAGCAGUGGGGAAUAUUGCACAAUGGGCGGAAGCCUGAUGCAGCAACGCCGCGUGCGGGAUGACGGCCUUCGGGUUGUAAACCGCUUUCGCCUGUGACGAAGCGUGAGUGACGGUAAUGGGUAAAGAAGCACCGGCUAACUACGUG